CCUACGGGUGACAGCAGUAGGGAAUCUUCCACAAUGGGCGAAAGCCUGAUGGAGCAACGCCGCGUGGGUGAAGAAGGUCUUCGGAUCGUAAAACCCUGUUGUUAGAGAAGAAAGUGCGUGAGAGUAACUGUUCACGUUUCGACGGUAUCUAACCAGAAAGCCACGGCUAACUACGUGCCAGCAGCCGCGGUAAUACGUAGGUGGCAAGCGUUAUCCGGAUUUAUUGGGCGUAAAGGGAACGCAGGCGGUCUUUUAAGUCUGAUGUGAAAGCCUUCGGCUUAACCGGAGUAGUGCAUUGGAAACUGGGAGACGUGAGUGCAGGAGAGGAGAGUGGAACUCGAUGUAUAGCGGUGAAAUGCGUAGAUAUAUGGAAGAACACCAGUGGCGAAGGCGGCUCUCUGGUCUGUAACUGACGCUGAGGUUCGAAAGCGUGGGUAGCAAACAGGAUUAGAUACCCUUGUAGUC
rnacentral:rRNA from 1 species